rnacentral:rRNA from 1 species
UACGGAGGGUGCAAGCGUUAUCCGGAUUCACUGGGUUUAAAGGGUGCGUAGGAGGGCAGGUAAGUCAGUGGUGAAAUCCCCGAGCUUAACUUGGGGAACUGCCGUUGAUACUAUCUGUCUUGAAUAUUGUGGAGGUGAGCGGAAUAUGUCAUGUAGCGGUGAAAUGCUUAGAUAUGACAUAGAACACCAAUUGCGAAGGCAGCUCGCUACACAUAUAUUGACUCUGAGGCACGAAAGCGUGGGGAUCAAACAGG